UUUAGAUUAUCCUUUCCUGUAUCAUAGUACUUGGAUAAUAAUAAUGAUGAUUGAAUAAUACUAACAGACUUUAUAAUAUACUUUAAAAUGUGCAAAUUUUCAUAUAUAUUACAUGUAUAAUAUAUUAUUGCCUGAUCUAAUUUGAUCCUCACAACAAUCCUGUGAACUAUGAGAAUCAAGUGUUAUUAUUCCUGUUUCAUAGAUGAAAAAAUUGAGGAUGGAUUGCCCCUACCCUACGGCUCAGACCAAUGCUGUGCCCCUCCCUACCAACACAUACUAGCUCAUUUUUUGUUAGGUACUAUGAAGAGCCCUAGAAGUGACAGUACUUCUAGACCUCUGGUUGUUCCAGUCCUAAUAGUCAUUGUUACCUUGAAGAAGCAACUUUUGUGGGAAAGGGACCAGCCAUUCCUAUCAACUACCACCUAUAACAUAGGAAAUUUGUUAUUGUUUAUAAGGCAGUCUCAGUUCUGGGCUGCAAACCAGAAAGCAUCCAGGCAAGGUCAAGAUUAUAAACAACAACAACAACAAAAUAAGAACUUUCAAAACAAAUCUUAGAGAGCCUUGACUUUUCACUGAAUGAAUAUAUCUUUAGUUGAUUACUCUUCUGUAGACACCAGCAUUAUUCUGUGUAUGCUUUGUAUUUACUUUUCUGGAUCAUGUUAUAUGACUGUAGUUAAGCAUAAGAUCCUUGUUUUUCUUGUUGCUUCUAUCUUUAGCUUCUAGUCUUAUAGCUAGCUAUGCCUAGCAGAGAAUCUUAUACUCAACAGUCAUUUAAAUAAAUGAUUUUUAGAUUUAAUUGUAUCUUGGGAU
rnacentral:lncRNA from 1 species